UUACCUUCCUGACAAGGAGGACAUGAUAGUGGUGGUGGUUUUUCCAGGGCAAGAAUCGCCCAUUGCACUAGGGAUGUGCUGACUGACCCCUGUGAUUUCCACAAAUGUGGGAAACUCAGGUGCAUCAUUUGUGUUAGUGAAGGACUGUAUUCACACUCUCCUCUA
ensembl:snRNA Gm22826 predicted gene, 22826